GCCAUUUUCCUUGCCUCUUGCCUCUUUCCUGCCCAUGUCCGGAAACAAGCGCUCUAUCGGGGAAGGACCAAGGGGUCGGCCUCACGGCUCACCUCGCCCCCAGGGAGGUGAUCAUCGGGUGAGGGUUGCUGUCAGACUGGACCGUUAGAUUGCUGCCCGUGGGGCGGCGGAAGAACCUUCUCGUCCUCCGCAGACUCCAGCGAAUGCCGCCGCUAGGAGAUCCGCAACCUGGUGAGGGCAGUAGUGGAAGACCGGGAGCAGUAUUAGGCGGCGACGAAGGAGAUCAACUGCCUGCGGUCCUCCCUCGCCGCGGUGGAGGCCUCCCUCUAGGCGUGCACGGAGGAGGUGACUGUCGUUCGUGGCAACGUUGCUGAGGCUCAUGCCCAGGUCGUAGACCUGAAGGAGGACCUGGCCACCGCGCAGCGAGAGGUCGAGGAGCUGUGGCACCGCUACGAUGACCUUGAGGAUCGUCAUGAUGACCUGGGCCACGCUGUGCUCCGCGCAGUGAGUGCGAUGUGGGUGCACGGGAACUGCUACCUGACCGCCUCUGGGCCCUUGCACCCCACGUGGGACGAGAGGUGCAACUGGGCGUUCGUCGAGGCGUGACGCUGGCGCUCACCGUGGCGCAGCUCCGAUCCGGGCUGGAACUUCAUCUCGUGAGGCCUGGGAUCCUGGCUGGGACCUCCUCGGCAGAGCGGGAUGCGCUCGCCAGUGACUUUGGCGUUGCCUCCGCCCACAUCGCCACCGAGACCGACGCUACCGAGAUCCUGCGGCAGGCCACCGGCUCGGGACGGGCCGAUCGUCGCUGAGUUGGUGUUGGUGACGAGGUGGAUCAGCUUGCAAGCGCCUCGUCGGCGACGAAGAGCUCUUUUUGGUGUUUGUACCUGAAGGGUGCUCAUCGCAGCCCUCCUUUCCUCCUUUCGUGUACUCCAUCCGUUUUGAUGUUGCUCCCCAUAGCCCCCGAGUGAGGUCCGAGACAGCACGGUGGGUCGGUCGUCACUCAUCGGUUAGGGGUAGAAGCGCCUUAGUUGCUCGAUGU